GACGAACGCUGGCGGCGUGCUUAACACAUGCAAGUCGAACGGAAAGGCCCUGCUUUUGUGGGGUGCUCGAGUGGCGAACGGGUGAGUAACACGUGAGUAACCUGCCCUUGACUUUGGGAUAACUUCAGGAAACUGGGGCUAAUAUCGGAUAGUAGCUCCUGCUGCAUGGUGGGGGUUGGAAAGUUUCGGCGGUUGGGGAUGGACUCGCGGCUUAUCAGCUUGUUGGUGGGGUAGUGGCUUACCAAGGCUUUGACGGGUAGCCGGCCUGAGAGGGUGACCGGCCACAUUGGGACUGAGAUACGGCCCAGACUCCUACGGGAGGCAGCAGUGGGGAAUAUUGCACAAUGGGCGGAAGCCUGAUGCAGCAACGCCGCGUGCGGGAUGACGGCCUUCGGGUUGUAAACCGCUUUCGCCUGUGACGAAGCGAGAGUGACGGUAAUGGGUAAAGAAGCACCGGCUAACUACGUG
rnacentral:rRNA from 1 species